AUUGAGCGCUGGCGGCAUGCCUUACACAUGCAAGUCGAACGGUAACAGGUCUUCGGAUGCUGACGAGUGGCGAACGGGUGAGUAAUACAUCGGAACGUGCCCAGACGUGGGGGAUAACGAGGCGAAAGCUUUGCUAAUACCGCAUACGAUCUAAGGAUGAAAGCAGGGGACCGCAAGGCCUUGCGCGUUUGGAGCGGCCGAUGGCAGAUUAGGUAGUUGGUGGGAUAAAAGCUUACCAAGCCGACGAUCUGUAGCUGGUCUGAGAGGACGACCAGCCACACUGGGACUGAGACACGGCCCAGACUCCUACGGGAGGCAGCAGUGGGGAAUUUUGGACAAUGGGCGAAAGCCUGAUCCAGCAAUGCCGCGUGCAGGAUGAAGGCCUUCGGGUUGUAAACUGCUUUUGUACGGAACGAAAAGGCUCUGGCUAAUACCUGGGGCACAUGACGGUACCGUAAGAAUAAGCACCGGCUAACUACGUG
rnacentral:rRNA from 1 species